rnacentral:rRNA from 1 species
UACGUAGGUCCCAAGCGUUAUCCGGAAUUACUGGGCGUAAAGCGUGCGCAGGCGGUUGUGUAAGACAGAUGUGAAAUCCCCGGGCUUAACCUGGGAACUGCAUUUGUGACUGCACGGCUGGAGUGCGGCAGAGGGGGAUGGAAUUCCGCGUGUAGCAGUGAAAUGCGUAGAUAUGCGGAGGAACACCGAUGGCGAAGGCAAUCCCCUGGGCCUGCACUGACGCUCAUGCACGAAAGCGUGGGGAGCAAACAGG